rnacentral:rRNA from 1 species
UAGGGAAUCUUCGGCAAUGGACGGAAGUCUGACCGAGCAACGCCGCGUGAGUGAAGAAGGUUUUCGGAUCGUAAAGCUCUGUUGUAAGAGAAGAACGAGUGUGAGAGUGGAAAGUUCACACUGUGACGGUAUCUUACCAGAAAGGGACGGCUAACUACGUGCCAGCAGCCGCGGUAAUACGUAGGUCCCGAGCGUUGCCCGGAUUUAUUGGGCGUAAAGCGAGCGCAGGCGGUUAGAUAAGUCUGAAGUUAAAGGCUGUGGCUUAACCAUAGUAGGCUUUGGAAACUGUUUAACUUGAGUGCAAGAGGGGAGAGUGGAAUUCCAUGUGUAGCGGUGAAAUGCGUAGAUAUAUGGAGGAACACCGGUGGCGAAAGCGGCUCUCUGGCUUGUAACUGACGCUGAGGCUCGAAAGCGUGGGGAGCAAACAGGAUUAGAUACCCUGGUAGUCCACGCUGUAAACCAUGAGUGCUAUGUGUUACACCCUUGUCAGGGUUUANUGCGGAGCUUACGCAUCANACNCUCCCGCUGGGGAGCACUACNGCCUGGUGAGUACCNNCUGCAUUGUUG